AAUAUUUUUAUAUUAAUUUUAAAAAGGCAGUUUUGUUUAGAUUAGUAACUAAUAAACUACAAGAAGUGCCAAGGAAUAUGCGGAUAUUAUUGGCAGUCUAUUCACAAUACACUAAUUUUUGGUAACUUCUGUUUCAAUUCUGUUUUUAUACAACUCUGCAAUUGUAGUUAGAGUUUCGAAAGUUCUCUAAGACAGUUCUCACUUCACUACGACUCACUGUUUAGUGCAUAAGCCCAGAUGUAAUUUAAUAUGCCACUUGCAGUGGGGGUUUUAAAGGUAUUUGUUAUGACUGUUGUUCACUUUUGUGAGCUAUGAUUGUGCUAAUGUAUGCAAACUUUACACAUCAAAUCUCACUGCAGCUGGUUACCUCUCUGCACAGGUGAGCACUACAGGGUAACGUGUGG